AGAGCAGAAGUUGCACUUUUAGGGUAAGGAAAGAAGGGGCGGAGCUCUAGAGCAGUUCAUCCCUUUAAAUUUUUGAGAAGCCCAAAGGAAAGGACUGGAAAGGAAGGCCAACCCAGAGAGUACUACACAUUGGAUUCCAUUUUAUUUCUACUUAAUAAUGUGCAUCUUUCUCAUCCUGUUUAUGUCCGACGUGCAGCUUGGCGUGAUCUCGGCUCACUGCAACCUCCGCCUCCUGGGUUCAAGGGAUUCUCCUGCCUCAGCCUCCCAAGUAGCUAGAAUUACAGGCACACGCCACCAUGCCUGGCUAAUUUUUGGUAUUUUUAGUAGAGACGGGGUUUCACCACGUUAGCCAGGAUGGUCUUGAUUUCCUGACCUCGUGAUCCGCCCGCCUCGACCUCCCAAAGUGUUGGGAUUACAGGCGUGAGCCACUGCGUCCAGCUGAGCAGACCACUCUUAAAACAUAUUCCUGAUCCUUAGUUCCUAUUUUAGUACUGAAAAUAUUCCUGUGGUUAGAAGACCUGAUCGAAAAGAUCUACUUGGAUAUCUCAAUGGUGAAGCGUCAACAUCGGCAAGUAUAGACAGAAGCGCUCCCUUAGAAAUAGGUCUUCAGCGAUCUACUCAAGUCAAACGAGCUGCAGAUGAAGUUUUAGCAGAAGCAAAGAAACCACGAAUUGAGGAUGAAGAGUGUGUGCGCCUUGAUAAAGAGAGAUUGGCUGCCCGUUUGGAGGGUCACAAAGAAGGGAUUGUACAGACUGAACAGAUUAG
rnacentral:sRNA from 1 species